ensembl:lncRNA
UCUAUGAUUCUAUGGAGAUGAUAAAACUUUCUUAUAGAGUCCUCAAAAUUGUCUUUACAAAAAGGCUGAAUAAAGGUAUUGAAUUUAAUACUCGCAAUUUUUAUACUGAAAGUUCAGUAAUAACAGAAACAAAGGGGAAGAGGACCAGAGCACAAAGAAGGCAACCAAAAGUCAAGGUUCUUAUGGGAAGGAAAAACUAAAACAUUGAUGUUUCAGAGCCAGGGGCCUCAAACUGUUCACACUGCAAGGAGUUUUGUGAACAGCAGCAAAGCAAGUUCAGGGCAGGCUACACCUCCAUUAUGCUCCAUCACCUGGAAUACAGCCACAGCCCCAAAGAAAAUCAAGAAAGGCUGCGUGGCUUUUACUGCUGAUGGAACCAAACUUUCCAAAUACACAUCAAGGGCUCAAUAUGAUUCCGCUGAACUUCUCCCAGCGACCCACAGUUCAAACAAAGACCUCGAGUCAAGAGUGCCACAGCACAGGGAACGCUGCCAGGCCCAGCGGAGCACUCACCACUUCACUCCCAAACAGGCUUGUACCUACUGGCAACCCAGCCAUGGCCAGCUCAUGAUCUUGGACCCCUGCCUACUUCCCUCAAAGCAGGCAAAGGCCAUCGAGUUCAUAUUGGGCUUGAAAUUAAUGAUUGCGAUAACAUAACGAAUGGCGCGGGCAGGGGAGAUGAUUGCUGCUUUGGAGAGGGAGCACCAAGAUGACUGCAAACUCUGCCCCUUGACUCUGCCUCGGUGAGGAGGGGAGAGGAAGACGCCAAGCGGAUGGAGCAGCAGAACACACACAGCGCAGGAAACCGCUGCGUAACGCUGUGAAGAAGUGAGGGUACCGGGCUGGAGCUGCAGGGAGGAGAAGCGCUAAAGGACGCACCUCUCUUGCGUGCCGUGCAAGGGACAAGCCUAUGAAGCCUUCCAGACUAGAACACCAGGAUCUGAAGUUACCUUUCUUUGUGCCGACGUGUGUUUUGACUUCUGAAGCUGAGGAGAUCUCGCAGCUCUCAAAGCCCUGUCAUCAAAACUGUGUGUGGUCGUCGCCUCUGGAAAUCGGUUCACCCCACGUGGAUCCACAAUGCAGGUUUUGCGUUAGGCAGCGAUACUGGAGAGCAGCAGCCAGAGUGCACCCGGGGUCAUGGGAAUAAAGCAGCCGCUCCCCUCAGCGGUCAUGGAGAGACCUCGGGGGGAAAACCGUUUUUAUCGGCUACUGAGGCUCUGAACGCUCCUCUCUUUCCCUUGCGCUCUGUGGCAUUCAGACCAUGCUAACUCGACCUACUUUAGAUACCGCUCACUGAGCUUUUCCAAAUGCUUAUGUUCUGUGUUUACUUAAGGUGCUAUUAAAUCCUUUAUCGGCUGUUUUACUGUUGCAGGAUUCGCUCCAGCCGUGUGCGAAUUCCAGUACGAGGCAGAGGCUCUGCUCGAGGUCAGGUGUGUGUGGUGCUUUCCAUCCUCCCCUCUCCAUGCCUCCCCCAGCUCAGCCUCUCCCUGCCAGCUCUGACAGCCCUAUCUAAUGCUGCUCAGCCCAUGCCGGCUUGUCCAAUCACAACACCUUUGGCUGCUCUCCUGUCCUGCUGUAUCUUUAGAGCAGGCUGCCAUAAACUCGGGCAGCCCUGGCAGCUUCCUGAAGAGCAUCACAGGUGAUUUCAGACCCCUGCGUGUACCAUUCCCCUGAGGGUCCCAGUGCUGAGCCUCAAUUUGCCUUCAAGUUACCAGCUUCCUGGUUUGGCACAAAGAGAAUAGGGGUAUCGCACAUUAUGCAGCUUACAUUUUUCCCUAAAAGAGCAUUUACUAUACCUCACAAACCUGUUUCCGAACAAGAAAUGAUCACUCAAGGAAAUGACCUAAUAGAAGCAGCUCGCCACAGUCUAUUGUAAAAACAGAGCGGGACACAAUUCCUCCAGUCAGGAUCGUUUUCAGAUUGUAUUGCUAGCAGGAAGUCUAUUCAGCUUGACUAACCAGUUUAUGGUCCACUCAACUUUUAACUACAGAAUAGAGCAAACAUCCUACUUCUGUUACAUAGUAGUGGUUCUUCUGUGCAGUGUUUACCCGCUUGUAACGUAAUGUAAUGCAGUCUCUGCUGAAGUCUGCCUAAGUAUCGUGUAUAGAACAAUCAAAUUAUGAGAACUGAAAUCUGAAAGGAGAUAUAUUAGCCUGAGAGAUGCAGAGAAACAGGGGAAAGAAAAUAACAAAACUAGGAACAGAAAUGGUGAAUAGAGAAAUAUCAUGAAAAAAGAAUAGUAGUAUCUGUAAAGAAUGCCAAGAAGUUUAUUUCCACCUCCCUGCCCAACUGCAUUCUGACAUCUCACUGGCAAGUAGUGUCUUCUCUUCCUGAGUUACUAAGACAGCUCUGUAAAGAGCUGACCAUUACCCUGGAGUGACCAUUACCCUAUUUACCCAUUAUUAUCCCCAGGCUUAAAAUGAGCUGUUCUACAAAAGCAAUGCUCACUCUGUGCAUGAAGCAAGAUGCCAAAUAAAGCAGUAUUCACUUUUUCUAUUGAGCAAAAAAAUACUUGAAACUUCAACAUGGUUGAAACCUGUUUAAGAGUAUCGGGAAAGCAUCUAUUUCUUAUCACCCCAACUGGUCUACAGCGUCUGCUGGAAAGGAAAGUUUUCACAUUGAUCCUCAAUUGUCAUUUUUUUUUCUUCUGAAAAUAUGAAUAGAAUUAUGAGAUACAGGCUUUCUCUCCGUUUCAAGAGGUAAUGGGCUUAAGUGUGUCAGGGAAGUUCAGAUUGGACAUUAGGAAACAUUUCUUUUCAGCAAGAGCGUGAGGCAGUGGCACAGGCUGCCCAGGGAGGUGGUGGAGUCACCGUCCCUGGAGGUGUUCAAGAGCCGUGUGGAUGUGGCACUGAGGGACGUGGGCUGUGGGCAUGGUGGGGAUAUAUUGGUGUUUGGAUUAGAUCAGGCAUGUCCAACCUGUGGCCAAACACAAUUCACAAUGUGGCCACCCUCUGUGUUACUGUGUUCAUUGUAUCUGUUGUAUUUUCCACAGAAAUAAAUUGUAGGUGUUACUUUCAGAGCAGCCUACUGAUACGCAGCCCUAGACAAUUCCUCUUCACUCAGUGCAGCCCAGGCAAGCCAAAAGCUUGGACAUCCAUGUUCUAGAUAACCUUAGUAGUCUUUUCACAUCUUAAUGAUUCUGAUUCUCUUCAAUGCUACUGGCAGUUCAGUUCUCUUUGCAUUUGAAAUGUUUCCUCUUUGUACCCAUCACACCCUGGACACCUCAUUCUGGUUUCUCAGACCUUUAGAAACGACUAGAGGACAUUUCCAUGUUAGUUCUCAAUACUGUGCUGUGCCUGAGUCAUGUUCAACACCUCAUUCCAAAGACAGCUGCUCGUUACUUCCCAUCAACUGCAGUGAUGUGCUGAUUAAUUCCUGGAGCGAGCAGACACCAGGCAACCAUUUGUGGUUCUCUACAGUAGAUACCAUGUGAGCCAUGAUGCAUCAGCUGCCUAUGGCUCAAGGAGACUUGAAUUGGACACUGAAUUGGUUCUCAACAAGUGCAGAUACGCAGCAUUUCUUAAGUAGGUAAAAGCACAACCGAGCAACAGCACUGUUACUUGCUACUGCUCCCACAUCCUAUCCUAAAUUCAAGUGCCACUUCCUAAUAAAUUUGAGGUCUUAACAAAAGAAAGCACUACCAACAGAAGAACAACAAAAAGCGCAGACACAACACAUAAAUGUGCAUGUGAUAUGAGCAGUACAAAUGAAAGCUAGAAGAGUUAGCAUCUUGACCACAACCUGGACACCCUCUGAGCUUACCAAAUGUUCGACAGUGCCUUCAUAACCAUUCCUACAGUACUCUCUACUUUGCUGUGCUCUCGGUUAUGUUGGCGCUGAUGAUUCUGACAAACGUUCAGAACAGAAACUGUCUGACAAUUACCUGAAAAGUAAUCACUGCUACAAAUGAAAUUUCUCAAUGCAUAAAACAAUAUAUAUUUCUGUUAGGAAAGUGAAAUCAGCUUUCAGUUGGUCAGUUUUUAAUUACGUAAGCAUUAAAAAAAAUUCCUAUCGCUGUAAUUGCAAAAAUGUCCAUCAGGUUAGAAGAAAUGUAACUAGAAAUGAAGAAAGUUGCAAGCUAGAAGUACAUAUGUAUCAACUGUUUCAGAAGGGACCUGAUUUUGUGUAUCUGAGUGCACAUACUUUAAGGGAACUGCUUUUCAAAAGCUGUUGCAUUUGUACAACUGGUUUCUUCCCACAUGUCUCCGUCACAGUUCGUUAUUUCUCCCUCUUCUCUCAGUUCUGGUGUUGGUCUGCAUUAGGAUUGGACUAAGAAAGUCUGAUAAAUAGGGUUGUUUUUGAGGUUGGGACUCCAGAAUGCCUACUUUAUGAACGCCAAAUCAUUUCAGCCUGUGGUGACAUACACACAUUUUCAGCUCUACAUGCGUGGUGAUAAAACCUCAGGCAGCUAAGCAAAAUAUAAGCAGAGAACUUCUGUAUCACUGUGAGCCAAGUGGCUUGGAAGGUGGCUUAAAUUGCAGUCGUGCAUUUUAUGUAAGUGCCUGACCACUAUGGGAGAUGGUCUUGAAAUCACAUUGAAUCUAAGUGCAAUUUAGUUUGGGUUUUCUCUGAUAUGUAGAUACAUAUACUUUAUACACAUGUAGCUUUCAAAAAGGUUAUCAAGUUCAAACACAAAGAGGAAAAAUAUUAUAAUGUUUUAAUGAGCAUAAUUAAGGAAAAUCAGUUUUGUUUCUUUCCCACUAGAAAAUUAGUUCUACUUCUGUACACAAAUCUUUCAGUAAAGAGAAAAAACAGCCUCACAUGAUGCUGAGAAAUGGACCGUGCUGCUAAGCAAACAACCGAAUCUCACACAGUACAAAAACGCAAUACACGUUUUCCUUAACUACAAACCCCUACACUUUUUCCUCAAAUUGCACUCUUUAUCUUCAGAUGCCCUGAGGUGAGUUUUAGUUUUGUUCAUCUUACAAGCACUCUGAGCUAAACCAAACACUCUUGACUUAUACUGAAAAUACAUAUUCUUCCACAUGAUCUAAGAGCUGUACUUGGUACAUCUUCAGGAAAAAAAAAAAAAAAUCCAAUAACAUUAGAGGGAGAUUUUCUUUACAUUAAGAGCAGAAUCACAGUCACAUAUGUAAUUAGAUCUGAGGAAACUUGGGAUACAAGCUACCUUGAUUUAACUUCUCUUCUGGAAAUACAUACCUAACCUCAAAUGCCCAAGCUAGGUUUGCCCUCCUAGCCUCUUUUCCCAGCGACAUGAGAGAGCCCAUCUAGGUGUAAAUGUCUGCACUGGAGAUGUUACCUAAUCUAAUAGGAGGAACACAUUAAGUGUUGUGUGGCUGCAGACGUGUGGGUUUAAAAGGGAACAUGGAGAUUUCUCAUUGCUCAUUUCUGCGGUUCACAGGCUACAUAAAGUCUAGAGAAAGCCCUAGGUUCCUUUUUGCCUAUGUCUUUGUUAGGUUUCCUCUUGUGGACCUUGCAUAUUUUCUUCCUCACCUGCAGGGAAAGAGGUGUUUAUUUUUGAUACAAAGUUUUGGUAGCCUUUUCUGUCAGCCACAUUCUGACAGCUCGUGCAUGGUCUCAGACUACAGUGGGGGAAAGAAAGGGACCCAGUCCAUCUAGAGAAAACAUCCGUACAAAGAAGUAGGAUGAGCUAAUGAAAACUACUUAACACCUCAGACCAAGGAAAGGGAGCUGAAUUUACAGGUGAUCCUUAAUUCAGAAUUUUCUGGUAUUUGCUGUAGACAGAGGAAGCUGAUUUGGCAUUAUUGUAGUCUUGAAAGCAAUUUUGGAAGUUUAUUCAACUGAUUUUCCUUUGCCUCUCCAGAAUGGUGGAUGGAGGCCAAAAUUUGAAUGCAAAUCAGAUUCUCCAGCUUCUGUAUUACAACAGAAGAACUUUUCUGUCAACUGCAGUACCUUGCUCUCUAACUUGAAUGGCAGUAUCUUACAGUUCAGUUGUGUUGUGUUUCUAAUUGCCAUCAGCUCAAUGGGAAGUACCCCACUACUUCAAACUGAAUGUUGACAAACUACCGUACCUACUCUGUGCACUGCUCCAGCAAAAACCUACCCACUCAAAGUUAAGCCAUUGCUGCUGGUAUUGGCCUGAGCUACUGGCAGGCUGCCCUACUAUGUAUAAACAUGAAAAACAUGGAAAGAUAGGACUGCAAUGUGCCAGAUUCCUUAGACAGAUGACAACUUGUUCCCACUCCCCUCACCCCCUUCCACCCCCCCCUCCCCCCCACGUGGAAGAAGUUAUUCUCUCCUAGCUUCGGAAUCAUGAUGUGCAUACAGCAGUAAAGUGCUGUAACAUGAAAGGGAAUAUGCUUGUACUGGAUGCUUUUAUGCAUAUCAAACUGCUUUUCUUCAGUAAUCUAUGGCUUUGCCAGCCUGAAACUCAAGAAAUAUAGUUUAAAAUGUCAAAGUUCGAGUGACAUUGGUGAACACAUCAUAAACUAAAUCACCAUUGAUUUAUUAAUGUAUGAACAAAGCCAGAGAGAUUGUCCACUAUAAUCCAUUGGCAUCAUAUACAACUCCCAAUCCACAAACUUGACUCCUUGCUUAGUUUCUCAGGUAUGGCUUUAGUAACACUAGUGGAAUCAGACUGAGGCCACAACAACGUACUCAAGAGCAAAACCAAUUCCUACUUGUUAGCCUGCUGCAUCAGCUGGUGGCACAUAAGCCCCCAAACCCAGGUGGAAUUAUUGUGCAUGGUUGUGGCAACAUUUCAGUGAGACAGGUAUAGUUUUGUAGUCCUUCCAUACAUGUUAAACUUUCCACAUAAGAAAUUUCCCCCAAGACAUAAAAGUGAAAAUUGAAUAUCACAGUAUCUGUUUGGUCUGUCAUCUUUUACCAAUGACCUGGUUUACAUAAUGCUGGUAAACUGUUUGCAGUUCGAAGCACAUACCACUUUUUAUUGAAGAUAUCAAUGUAACUGUCACGUUUCUUGAGUUACGUAGACAAGAGAAAGGAGGCAAUGGUCUCAUCCCUCACAAGUGAGCAUGAAAGACAUUGGUAAUUCAUACAAGUUUAGAAACUCCACUCAUUUCUAAUGUGGCACUGCUUCAAAUUCAAGAAACACAUGUGCUGAGAAAUUGCAGUUCCACAGUCAUGUUAUAGCCUGGAUUUGCCAGAAAUGGAAAUGAGAGUAAAGCAUGACAGAUUCAGUGUCGUCAAAAGUGCUUUAGCGUAUCUGCAGUUGGGAAGAAGUGUUUGGGUGCAUUUUUGUCAGAAGAAAAAAAAAAAAUCAGCAAUUACUGACAGAAAGUCUCUGAGAAAGAUCCAAGUGGAUUGUCAUAAGAAACAGAAGUCUCUGCUGUCAGAUGAGGAAAAGAAAAAAAGAAAAAAAAAAGCACAAACCAACAUAUUUGAAAGACUCAACCAGCACUUCCUGAAUUGCUAAGUGCAAUGCACAGCAAUCGAACGUCCAAGUAAGAAAAUCUGCUGCAAAGAAAAGAGACAGUAGGUGCUUCACAAGUUUCACUAGUGAGGUUAAAGCUGGAAAAGUCUAAAAUGAUUGUGCUUGUUUCUAUGUCUACUCCAAGAAUAAAAAGAGAUCAAUAUUGCAAAAUAAGUGUGAGAUUUAUAAUCUUGAGUCUACAUUAGAAAGCCCUUUACAUGCAAACAUCUUCUGGUUAUCAAUAGUGUAAUUAACGCAAGUGCAAGAGCUAUGAUUGGCUGUAAUAAGAUUUAUACCUCUAUAUGAGAAAAGAAAAAUAAUACACCAGAAGAAACUGCUUCUAGUAUGCUUACCAUAGACAAGCUAGUAGUAAUUAUAUAGUGAAACCUUCUGAGUUAAAACCAAUUAAAUCUAAAGCAACAUAUAGAGGAGAGGUGUUUGGUAGAGCAGCAUUAUGGCCAAGAGUUGAGUUUACUCAUAACACCAUGUGAAUCACCAUGAAGAAAAAAGGAUAGGCAGAAAUGAAUACUGGGCCUGCAGAAAUUAUCUUGACAUUACAGAAUGAAACUAUGGUUGGACUAGACAACUACAGUCGUCUUUUCUAACCUUAAUGAUUCUAUGAUUGUCAUCAAAAGGAUGACUACAUAUUUUAAAAUCUUUUGGUAGAUCUCUGUUUGUUAAGACUCCAAUAGGGAAAUUGUAUAUUCAAUAUAACACUUGAUAUUUCUAGGAGAGAACAAUAAAGGCAGUGCAUGGAGCAAAGGAGGCUGCUCUUCCAUAGUGUACCCACAAGGCACAAGGUCUAAGAGCAGAGAGGUGCUUUCUGUGUGUGUAGCCCUCUCCAUAAAUCAGGAUUCAUCAAGUUUUCAUAUGAAAUGUGACUUAUGAUAUUCACAUACCACACUCUCACUUGUGCCAAACACAAGUGCAAGGAAAGCCAGGAGAUAAGAAUUAACUCCAGUCUUUCAUUACCAUGAAACAUCUAGCAGCACUCAUCAUGCCUUGAAUGACUGCUUGUAGAUAUGAAAUUGGAGAUGAUCCCAGCAGCACUGAGCCCAGUCAGUUGUGGUGGAUCCUUGAAGGGCACACAAGCAACGUGAACAGUAUUAUCACAAGCUUGAGCCACACUCAGUUUUUCAAGGUGGGACAAAAACCAAUGGACACUUUCGCAAAAAGACCAAAACGCACAGAGCUGUGCCAGAUGCCAGUCCAAACUAACCCAAAGAUCUUUACUAAGGCCAUGUUAUAGUGUGUGCACUACUGAAUUUGAAAAAGAAUUAGAACUACGUUUGUCACUGAUAGGAGCAUUUCACCAGAGAAAGUGUUAAUUACUGAUAAACUACAAGCAAGAGAAGAUUAUGAUAAACAUGGGCAUUUCCCUAGAAUGCAACAAGAGCUGAUGUUUCCACAUUUAACUGUAUGACCCUGUAAAGUCAGUAAGAAUACACAUGUUGUAAAGUAUUGGAUGAUCAAUAAGUACACAGAGAACUUAGGCUUGGUAAGAUUACCACAUUGGAAAAGAUAAUCAGAUAUAAAUGAAAGGUACUCACCAGUGUUGUAGGCACACAAAACUCCACAACAAGCAAUCUCCAGAGAGAGAACUCUCCUCAGUGGCAGUCAGCCCUUAAAUGGGGUCUAGGAGAGGUGCAGCCAGGCUCCACCCCUUCCUGUCACACAGCUGAAUUGCCUUCACCUGUGCUCCCACGGCUGACUCAGUACUUGCCUCAGGUGGUCAAUCAGAGGUUCAGGCCAUGAUUCAACAGUUCCCAUACAGACCCUUAAAGAGUAAGCUAAGCAUUAUGCUCUGGUUUAGCUGUUGUUAUGUUACCAUCUUCAAAGAAUUUCAUUACAAAAGGGAAAUAUGUGUCAAGAUACUAAAAUCAGAAGCAGUUCAGUGCUGGAAGGAAGUGUUGGAAGAUUUUCUUUCUCAGUGGCUGAAUCAAAUCUUGACAAAGUCAUAAAAUAUAAAGAAACCCAAUUACCCAAGCAAUUAGAAAUCUGAGAAAGACUUCUUAGAGGCAAGUAGUCUUUCCUCUGUUUAAUAAUUUAAAUGCAGACCAGUGAAUGUACUACUGCGAAUAAAUCUCUAAUACGAAAUAUUGACUUUUCACAUUUAAAAAUGAGUCCCGUUCUUCAUCAGUAGUGCUCGGCACACAUUAGUAUCAAAUUAAUUUUCUUUAUCUUCAUUACUGACAUUAUAUCACUCAAUACACAGAUGUAAAAAUUAAGCAUUGGAAUAAAUGUAUAUUAAAUUAGGUAAUUAUUUUAGUAAGCACAUAUAUAUAGGUUUGGUUUGUGAAAAAGAAGAAUGAAGUAGCAUAAAACUAUAUAUAAUAGGUUGCAAAGCACCUAUUUAAAUGGUUUUAAUGCAAUAAUUGUGAACUUUUCCAAUGAAAAGAGAUGAAUAAUGAAGGCCAAGAAAGACUGAUGACAUAAAAGAGCAAGUAUCACCUAUGUUUUAAAUCAUAACUGAAAUCACUAUGGAUUCAAAAUAGAACUAUUGCGUGCUACAAUUUCCAAUCCUUGAAAUACUAAAGAUGGAACACAGCACAGAUGCACAUGAAUAUAUGUAGAGGUACACUUUGCCUGGCUGUUGGCUUCCCAGUUGCUCUUCUGGAUAGAAGGGAAAAUAGGUGUGACAAAGCAAAGGUGAAACUAGUCAUAAGGAGCAAUCAACCACAACCAGCUGUGUUUUCAACCCAGCUGAGAAAUUUCAAAUGAUGGUUGAAAAGGGAGCUAUGUGCCACUGUUCCUGCCACUCAGGAAGGACAUCUGAGAGAGGUCUGCUGUUGUAAUGCCUUCAGCUUUUCCCAACUUAUAUUGAAGUGGUAAUAAAACACAAGCAAGGAGCAAAUCCUUCUGGUUUGGAUCCUGAAACAAAAUUCAUUGUCCUGAUGUCAUGUAUUAGCCUGCAAUCAUGUCAUGUGCAUGCAGACCAGCUUUCCAGUCUCACUACUACCAGAUAAAAGUAGUGGGAAGGUAGAGAGUAAAAGAGUUUCUUUCUUCCUUUUUCUUUUUUCUUUUUUUUUAAAUGAACAAGACGUUGCUUCCUUACAAUAUAUUCCACUAAGCAGCUUACAGAGCAAAUGAUGUUGAUUAGUGUGUUUGAUAGAGCAGUCUGAACAUGGAUGUUUGGGAAAAACAGUAAAAGUUGCAAUUUCCAGCUGGGAGGUUGCUCAUUAAAAGGCAUGAAAUCAGCUCAAAUUCUGCCAGGAGGGAGAAUCAAGAAGGCAAAAAGAUCCCAAGGUAGUCAGUUACUGGCAUGGUUUAUUUGCCUUGCUUGAAAUUCAAGAUAUAUUUAACAAAGAGAAUGCUUUCUGUUACUCUUUGGAGACUUUAAAAAGAAAUCUGCUCCUUGCCUUCUAUAUUUUUUUUCCACAGCUUUAAUUGCCAAGGACUCCUGGGUUCUGCUGCAAUAGCUAUCAUUAAAACAGCGAAUGUCUCCAUGUUAAUUUACCUACCUCUAAACUUGGGAUGAUCUUCCUAGGUUUUAGAGGGCAUUAAUUGUUUGGCUGUAAGCGCAGAAGGACCUCUGCCUGAGACAUGCCUCCUGUGCCAUCUCACUGUCUUUUAAGUACAUUCCCCCAAGUCUCCCUAGUGUAGCAAACUCACUAGUUAAACAGCCAAAUUCACUCAAGGAUGUGAAAUGGAGUGAACUCACUCUACCCUACUGUGUUGCUUGCUGUUGGCAUCAUGCUUCUAUCCCCGAAUAGUGUUUCACAGCCUUGGUCCUGUCACAAGGCCAGGAAGACAGCUCCUGUGUAUAUGGGAUGGGGGGGAUACAGGCACCUUCAAAGAGCUGGGGAGGAGUGCAGAGCAGAGUAACCUUUUGUGACUUCCCAGGGACUAGCUGCACAGAGGUGUUUUUUUACCCAGUCUUCCUCCUUGCAAGCAUGAGUAAAACCUAGAAAAAAGUAAUAGAAACCUUUGCACUGACUGUAAUCAGGAAGCAAGUGGGCUUGGGCCAUUUGUGUUUGCUAACUAUUUGGCAGAGUUCCGCAGCAGUACUGGACUAUCAGGUGUUACACCUGUAUAAGGAGCUUCUGCUCAUUCAGUAUGGGAUGGCACAGAAGAGAGGAGUUUUGAUUUAGCUACACUUUGAAAUGUCACUGAGAUAAGAUGAAAUAUCUGCAGUCUUUAAUUCAAGAUUUUCUAGGCUCACUGCCUGCAGGUAACAUACAUUUAUGGCCCUAAUAUACAUAUAUGCAUAACUAUUCCCUUAGCAGCAUUAAAUUUUAUAGCUGUUGUUUCACAAAGCCUGCCGUCAGAAUAGUCUGAAAUUAUGAAGUUAGGAGUUUAAGGGAAGCUUCUCUCAGCAAAACAAAAAAGAAAAAAAGAAAGAACACCACCACCUAUAAAAAAAACCCACACCACGGCAACACAGAAAAUGUACAAUAGAAAACCAGAAACAAUUAAAUUGGUCUUAAGGGAGAUCAAUUCAGUGUAAAUGCCUUGUCAGAAAGAGGAAGAGAUUGUCAUGUUCAUGUCAUUUUCUCUAAAUCAAGAAACGGAAUUAAGUGAACCUGAUGCAAUCACAUCUCUGAUAAGGACAUAAUCCUUUGCCUGGGCCAAACAAUGAAGCUGUAAUCUCCACUAUUCAUAUAGUCAUGUCACAGCACAGUCAGCACUGGAAGGAGUUCAAGGAAUCCUUCACUACAACUCCAGCAAGAAACAGAAGAGAAGGUUGAUACGAUCUCCUUAAACACUUUCUCUAGAAAUCAUAACUACUGUUGUUCUGAAGCCUACCUACCAGAAGCUAGCAUUUUAUCAGUAGUCACAGUGAACCCUUUUUCUUUUUAAAAGAUCUAGAUAGUCACUCUGUGGCACAUUUCUCAUAGUGCUGUUGAGGUGACAAAUCAAUCAGGUCUUUUUCCUCACUUUCUUCAAAGAAAAUACCUUACUUUUCUAUUUUGUUCACUUGUCCUUUUCCUUCCCCCCAAAUUUGUAUAUACUGAGGGUUUUAAAAGUGAUCAUUGUAUUCCGUAAUGCAUCAGAAAACAUGUAUGAAGAUUUACAGCAAAUAGUAUAUGGCAGUUUUGUUUGCCAUUUGCCUGAACUCAUUCAGAAGUUAACAUUAAGAUAAAGCCCAUAUCAGACAGAAGGGAAAAGAAUCCUCUUAAUGCGGUUGUCUUCUGAGAUUCAAGGCAGAAAGGAGCUCAUUCCACACAGGGGAAGACAGGGAUGAGCUGUUGGCAGCUGGGGAGACCAAGCAGCAUUCUGAGUGGAGAGUGUGAGCAGAGCCCACAAGCCGCGGGAAGACGAUCUGGGGAAUUCUGCACAGCCAGUUGUUAUUAGAAAACAAAUAAUAUCUGAUGAGACUCUUGAUCAAAGACAAGCAGAGAGCUGUGUGGGAUACAGCUGUGGUUGAUUGCUCAACAGAAGCAAUGAAACAGUCAAGCAUGCUCUCAAAAUGGCAGCCCAGCUACCCAGGAAAGACAGGAAAUACAUGUUGGGAAGUUCACUCUAAGACAAAGGAAACCAACAUCCUGCCUUUGAUAAGUUUGGAGACCACAGAAGUACUGCAUUGGUUCAGCUCAAAACCAUGUUUGAAAACAAACUUAAUCAAUACACCAAAGACAUGACAAAACGACCAUCAGUUUCCUACAAAACAGCUCUUGAUGAUAGGGUAAUGAAUUAGAUUUGGGAUUUCUCAGGUGGCUCAGACCAUUUAGCUUAACAAGAAGAGAGGGAUAAUUAGAUCACACUCUAUCUACAGAUCACACUGUAGAUACCUAUGUGGGAACCAAAAUCUGAUGAGUGAAGGCUCUUCCAUCUACCAAAAACAGUCCAUCUGACUUGCUGGAUCUAUAACAUACAAAAUCCAAAAUGCAAGUCUAGGUAACCAUUACCAAGCUAUACUAACAUUAGAUUUCCCAUUUCUGGCUAUCCAUUAGAAAGCUGCACCAAUGGUUGCUAUGGAUUUCCUACUUCUCUCAAUCUUAAAAUUGAAAACAACAACAAGAAAGCUGUGUUGUUGUUGCUGUUUUGUGAGGAUUUUCCCCUAGAAGACACAGGUCUAACAAGAUUUUGGGGAAGGUGGAUUGUGUUGUAGAGGUGCACACGUUAUAUAAUAACAACUCCAUACAUAAAUAUGUAGCUUAUAGUCUGCAAAUCCUUCUUCUAUGUGGACCCAUCCAUUAAAGGUGCUUAGCAGGGUCUAUCACAGGUUAAAGGGGUAAAUCUCCGUGGGAGAUGCUUGUCAAAAUAUUUGCGGCUUCUCACUGAAGCAUCCUUAGUAAAUAGAUCUCCCUCUGAAAUCCCAAAUGUGUGAGAAAGUCAGGACUAUGUAGACCAUCACUUAUAAAAUUACAUACAGUGCUCUGUAGAAAUUUUUCUCAGGCAUAUAUAAACAAAAAGAAACUGAGAUCAUUCAGAUCAUUCAGACAAAGGAGAAGCUCUGCAGUAGAAAUUAACUGUCACAUCCCUCAAAUCUUUGGAUAUAAAUGUGAUGAUAAUUAACGCUAAUAAAGAAUUGCUUCAAAAUUCUCAUCCAGAACAAAUAGGUAGAUGUCAUUCUUACGUUGCCUUUUGCCUUCAUCCCCAAAAUAUCUACCGUUUGCAGUCAGGCUUCUUUACAUAUGUAUGUGCCAUGAAGUACUGAAGAGAUGAAUUAUUUUUCCUCUAGAAAGGCAGGUUUCUCCUCAGAUAAGACUAACGCGGUCUGGACUAAAGAGACCAUAAUGUAUUAGGAGAGCUGAUGAAAUUGGGCAAGGGCGAAGGGAAGGCCUGAAAGCUAGAUAACAGAUGUUUUAGAAAAAGGAGAAACAUUUCAGCAGAGACCAUCCAGUGGCUCAACUCAGUCCCAGUAUAAAUGCCUACAUCUCUACCUCCUGUAGAGUGUAACAUAGAUGAUACACAGUAUGAUGGACUGCCUUGUCAUGCAAAGCAUGAACGUGUCCAGGAUGCGCCAUCAUUUCCAAAAAAACAGGGCAGAGAGUCAAUAAAGAGGAGAAGAUUUCUGCAAUUAUGCUGACUUCCCAUCCAAAGCAAGUAGGAGCAUAUCACUACAGGGUCAAGAGCCCAGAGGCUCGGGUAUGAUCAUCACCAGCAUAUAUGAAACAGCAUACUUAGAUGCCCACAUCUAAGAGUAGACUACCUUAUAGGGCUAUAAAGACAUGCAGCGUAGUCUUCUGGGUACUUCUACACCUUAUUUUUGCAGCUUCUUGGGACAGUAACAGAGUUCAGCAUGUUCUCUUAUAACUAGCUUGCAUAACCUUCUUAAUAUGGAUUUGAUGAAAUGCAAAUAUAUUUUAUUUAUUUAUUGGUGGGGAAAGGGAUUUCACAUCUGAAUUUCAGAUUUACAGAUUUAGAGAUCUGCUUCCAGUCUUGGGGCAUCAUUGACUGUGCAGCAAGUUUCAAAAUCAAAUUAAAUGCAUUGAUUUGCUCCUGGGCAAGUCUUGCAUGAAAGAAGCAGCUGUUUCUAUGACUGCAUCUCCUAAAGUUAAAAACAAAACAGAGCUUAACAAGAAACACUUCCUAUCUGAUGGAGCUUUUGUCCCGUUACAGAAAAUUAUUUUUAGCUUUGAUUGUGUACAGUACUAGUGGAAAAGCCCUUGUGUGAGUCACAACAGAUAAGCAGCAACACUAAAAACGUAGCUAGCGUUUAGCUAGGUUGCAGAGAUGGUAGCAAAGGUGGUGUUGUAUCACCUAGGAAGAUUACAAGUCCUCACUUUAAUAAAAAAAAAAAAAAGCCUGACAAAAAGGUGAUAGCAGUCAAAUUUUGAAAAGGAACAUUUCUACCUGCUGUAUCAAACCGAUGCUCAUUUCCUACUGCAGCACAGUAUGGUAUAUUUUGGGAUACAUCCUUACCAACCUUUUUUGUCCACUCCUAGGAAUAUAACAAUCCAGUCAGCUUACAGCAUUACACAUCAGCAUCCAAGGACAGACCAGGGAAUAAGACAUUUCUACCAGUUCCAUCUGCAAAACUCUCAUUAAUCAAAAUUGAGCACCGCAAUUACUCUUAAGCAUCCAUGGCUGUUGAACCCUGGAGCUUUAACUUGUCAUUUGAACAGCAGGUUUACUGCCUGUGUAACUGAGUUCCCGAUAAUUUGGGAAAACAAAGAUAUGAAGUCAAACUCCUUGUUUAUUUCCCUUAUUCUGUCUCAAUUAGGAAAGCUGUAACUCCCAGGGUGAGAUACCGCUGAGCAAUGCCAUCUAUCAUGGUACUCACUUUUCAUUCAGUACAAUUAAUAUAUGAUUUGCAGCAAUAUAUGGAUGUGAGGGAACUGAAGGAGCUCAGGUGUGGGGGGGACAGAGUAGAAGGCAUCCUUGGAGGGGAGAGGGACGGAGUCUCUGUUGGAGGAGGUUUCAGCAGGGAAGCAUGGCUUUGUGAGCUCAGUACAUGUGGGGUGUGUGUGUGUGUGUGUGUGUGUGUGUGUAGAGAAGGACAGGUUAAUCAAUGAAUGUUGCGGUAGCUGGGGAGAUGUUAGAAGUACGUACAAAGAAAUGGGCAGAAGAGGUGAUGAGCCAUAGCCAUAACAUAUAAAUAGAGGGGGCGACAUGAAAGUGGCUGGCAUGCACCAUCAGCACAAGCACUCUGCCUUCAUCUCCCUUCUGUCACAGCUCCUUUGGGCUGUAUCCCCAGCUGGGGCAAUGCAGCACACUCAGGCAGGAGUCAAUUAACUUCCUUCUGUACACCAGCAGGGACUGUCUUUUUCUCUUUAGAAAUCACACUCCCUAGGGCAUAAAUUGAGCUUCAAUCUACAAUAGAACAGCACUAUAGUGGUUCUGCUCUUGACUGAAUUAACUGGGAAUUACUGCAAUGUAAACAGUAAUUUCAUAAUAUUCAUGUAAGUCGUUAGAUUGCAAAGGCACAUACUAUUGUUAAUACUCCUGGAGUAAGGCUGCUCAUGCACAGUCUUGCAGAAGGCUUAACUAGAAGAGCUAGGUAGCUACAGAGGGAUUACUGUAACCAUUUCCUGUGAGGAUAAUAUGGGUUGCACUGCCUGCAACCCAAUAGAUCUGUGUGGAAGGUUCUGCACUAAAGCUGGAUAUAAUUCAUGGCUCUUCAGAGAUGCUCCCUGCGUUGUUUUUAAAUAUGAACACAAGAGAAGAAAAACUUUAUCUGAAAAAUUUACUGUCUUCACACAUUGGAGUUUUUAUUUCUUUUUUACUGUAGUUGCACAGCAUUUUCCCAUUCAAUUCCUGAUGCAGCUUUCCAAUACUUAAAGGUGCUAGUGGUAGACUUACAGUCAAGAUGUCCUGAAAAACCCCCUGAAGGUCAGUCUCUUUCUUUCCUAUCAUACCAAGUGUCCCAAGAAAGGUAUGUAUUACUGCAUUCUCCUCUAUCUUCAAACCUGCUUCCUACUGCAAGCACACACUACUGUACAAGUGCUAGAAUGAUGCUUAUGCACACAGAGAUGAAAAUCUGCAAUGUUAGAGAUCAACCACUUCAAUUUUGCUGGGCCCUGAGUCAUAACACUUAAUGAGGUACAAGCUACAGAUCCCUGAGCUGACAUUAAGGAAAAUAAACAUUGCUGUAUGAGAAGCAGUGCUGAGGAAGCCUUAUUUUCUACUGACUGGCACCCUACAGCUGUACCUUUCUCUUCACACAAUACCCCCUGCUUCCUUCCAUAUAUCCCCUGUGGUUCAUGCUUUCCUUCUUACUUCUUCAACCCCCUCACAUCUACCAAUCUCUGCAACCCACAACUUGAGAGUGGCCUUUCAGUGCCUAAAGGGGAGCUGUGAGAAAGAAGGGGACAGACAAAUCUUUAGCAGGAUUUGUUGUGACAGGACAAAGGAAAAUGGUUUCAAAGUAAAAGAGCAGAGAUUAAGACUGGAUAUAAGUUUCUUACAAUGAGAGUAGUGAAGCAUUGGCACAGGUUGACCAGAGAGGUGGUGAAUGCCCUGUCCCUGAUACACUCGAGGUCAGGCAAGACAAGGUUCUGAGCAACCUGAUAUAGCUAUAGGUGUCCUUGUUCAUGGCAGGGGAGUCAGACAAGAGGGUCUUCAAGGGUCCCUUCUAGCUCAAAUGAUUCUGUGAUUCUAUUCUAUGAAGUGGCAAGGAAACCAAAUGCACACAGCAUGUCCACCACCAAGCAAACUCAUUCCUUUGUGGAGAUUCAUAACAAAUGUCUGCUCUGAAUGAAGUAUGAAUGGAGGAAAACACACACCACAGGGGCUAACAGAGCAGUUUCUGCCAGUACUCAAAGACAGCAGUAUUGUGCUAAUGAACAUGUUGU